rnacentral:rRNA from 1 species
GAUGAACGCUGACAGAAUGCUUAACACAUGCAAGUCAACCUGAAUUUGGGUUUUUAACUUAGGUUUGGGUGGCGGACGGGUGAGUAACGCGUAAAGAACUUGCCUCCCAGCUAGGGACAACAUUUGGAAACGAAUGCUAAUACCUAAUAUUAUGAUAAUAGGGCCUCCUAUAAUUAUGAAAGCUAUAAGCGCUGUGAGAGAGCUUUGCGUCCCAUUAGCUAGUUGGAGAGGUAACGGCUCACCAAGGCGAUGAUGGGUAGCCGGCCUGAGAGGGUGAUCGGCCACAAGGGGACUGAGACACGGCCCGUACUCCUACGGGAGGCAGCAGUGGGGAAUAUUGGACAAUGGACCGAGAGUCUGAUCCAGAAAUUCUGUGUGCACGAUGAAGUUUUUCGGAAUGUAAAGUGCUUUCAGUUGGGAAGAAACAAAUGACGGUACCAACAGAAGAAGUGACGGCUAAAUACGUG